AGAACGAACGCUGGCGGCAUGCCUAACACAUGCAAGUCGAACGAGAUCCUUCGGGGUCUAGUGGCGCACGGGUGCGUAACGCGUGGGAAUCUGCCCUUAGGUACGGAAUAACUCAGGGAAACUUGUGCUAAUACCGUAUGAUGUCUUCGGACCAAAGAUUUAUCGCCUAGGGAUGAGCCCGCGUAGGAUUAGCUAGUUGGUGGGUAAAGGCCUACCAAGGCUACGAUCCUUAGCUGGUCUGAGAGGAUGAUCAGCCACACUGGGACUGAGACACGGCCCAGACUCCUACGGGAGGCAGCAGUGGGGAAUAUUGGACAAUGGGCGAAAGCCUGAUCCAGCAAUGCCGCGUGAGUGAAGAAGGCCUUCGGGUUGUAAAGCUCUUUUACCCGGGAAGAUAAUGACUGUACCGGGAGAAUAAGCCCCGGCUAACUCCGCGCCAGCAGCCGC
rnacentral:rRNA from 1 species